rnacentral:rRNA from 1 species
CAGUAGCCACGGUAAUACGGAGGGUGCAAGCGUUAAUCGGAAUUACUGGGCGUAAAGCGCACGCAGGCGGUCUGACAAGUCAGAUGUGAAAUCCCCGGGCUUAACCUGGGAACUGCAUUUGAAACUGUCAGGCUGGAGUCUUGUAGAGGGGGGUAGAAUUCCAGGUGUAGCGGUGAAAUGCGUAGAGAUCUGGAGGAAUACCGGUGGCGAAGGCGGCCCCCUGGACAAAGACUGACGCUCAGGUGCGAAAGCGUGGGGAGCAAACAGGAUUAGAUACCCGGGUAGUCUCUGUCUCUUAUAC